rnacentral:lncRNA from 13 species
GCUUAUAUUCAGUUAAUGGUUGAGGCUUUCUCUUCGCACCAUAAAAAGAUGCAUGAAAUAAGAAUCUUUCUGGAGGGCGAAGGGAUUUGAUUAAAGUUCUUCUUUCCAAAGCAGUCUCAUCUUCAUUUUAGAACAGACAUAAUAAAGAGAAUAAUUUUUUAACUUAGUAUGAAUCUUUUUUGAGAAGUACCCCCUACUCCCAUGCUUACACUAGAUGUCAAGACCAAUUGAUUUAUGGAAGUUAGAAAGCAGACUGAAGAGUGAGAGAAUAUGGCAGAAAUGUGGACGAUGAGAGUCUUUCAACCUUGAACUCAACCACUGGAUGAGUGAGAAGCUAGCAGGAAUUCAUGGAGCCAAAGCAAGCAGGAAAAACUAACUGCAUGGGUUGAAUUUAUUAAAUAUUUGACUCUGAAGCCACAGCCCUGGAUUUGAAUUUUGCACGACCUGGAGUUUUAUGUACCCAACAAGGAAGCAGGAUUUAUGAGAAAUGUAUUUGCAUGGAGGUCAUUUUUACAACUAUCAACUUCACUUCGAAGAGCUCUCCAUGAAAAGUAUAAUAAGGAAGUAAAAAGUAUACUGGAGUAGAUGCAAUUCAUCCAUUCAGCAAAAAAAAAAAGAAAAAAUGGUCAACUGCCUUCUAAAUGCCAGGCAUACUUUGAAGGCUAAGUUAACAGCAGUAAGCAAAAGAGACAAAAAUUCUUCCAAGGGUGAUCACAUUCUCAUGGGAGGCGUACAGUGUUGAGAGGACGCAAUCAUGGUAACAGCAGCUUAAAUGAAGUGGAAGUUUCUUUCUUUCUUACAUUUCAAGAAGAGUGAAAGCCAUCAAUUUGGGACUGAUAUGGUGCCAUAUGUUGUAAAAGACUCGCUCCUUUUCCACCCGGGCAUCCCUUGGUUCACAGAAUCCUUCACAUCAGCAGCAACAAGGAGAAAGAAGAAUAGAAGAAGAAAGAACAAGAUCAUGAGCCAGAAAAUGUAA